rnacentral:piRNA from 1 species
CACAGGUCUGUCUCAAGGAGAAGCU